rnacentral:rRNA from 1 species
AAAGCUCGUAGUUGGAGUUCUGUUGCGGAAAACUGGUCCGUCUAUCGGGCGGUAUUUAGAUUUUGCGUAUCAUCUUCUUGAAAAGCUUUGCUGUGCUUGAUUGCAUGGUGUGGGAAUCAGGACAUUUACUUUGAGGAAUUUACAGUGUUUCAAGCAGGUUUGUGCUGAAAUAGCCUACCAUGGAAUAAUAACAUGGGGUCUUGGUCUUGUUAGUAGGUUUCUAUGCUGAGGAAACCAUCAAUAGGGAUAGCUGGGGGCAUUUGUACUUAACUGUCAGAGGUGAAAUCUCUUGGAUUUGUAAAGACAAACUACUGCGAAAGCAUUUGUCAAGGAUGUUUUCAUUGAUCAAGAACGAAAGUUAAGGGAUCGAAGACGAUCAGAUACCGUCCUAGUCUUAACCAUAAACAAUGCCAUCUAGAGAUUGGAGGUAGUGCCAAGGAUUACUUCUUCAGCAUCAUUUGAGAAAUCAAAGCUUUUGGGUUCCGGGGGGAGUAUGGUCGCAAGGCUGAAACUUAAAGGAAUUGACGGAAGGGCACCACCAGGAGUGGAGCCUGCGGCUUAAUUUGACUCAACACGGGAAAACUCACCAGAACCAGACAUAAACAGGAUUGACAGAUUGAUAGCUCUUUCUUGAUUUUAUGGGUGGUGGUGCAUGGCCGUUCUUAGUUGGUGGAGUGAUCUGUCUGGUUAAUUCCGUUAACGAACGAGACCUUGUCUUACUAAAUAGUUACAUGUAACUUUGG